UAACACGUGGAUAACCUACCUAUAAGACUGGGAUAACUUCGGGAAACCGGAGCUAAUACCAGAUAAUAUUUUGAACCGCAUGGUUCAAAAGUGAAAGACGGUCUUGCUGUCACUUAUAGAUGGAUCCGCGCUGCAUUAGCUAGUUGGUAAGGUAACGGCUUACCAAGGCAACGAUGCAUAGCCGACCUGAGAGGGUGAUCGGCCACACUGGAACUGAGACACGGUCCAG
rnacentral:rRNA from 1 species